AAUUAAAUGGGCAGCCACCCACCUCCACCAAUCAAAGAGGAGGCAGCCAACCCUCUCCCUCUAUAAAUAGAGCUUGGCCGGCCACCUCCUCCCCAUUUGCUCAUUUUCUACACUCUCCACUCCUUCCUCCACUCCCCCACACUCCUCUCCUACCUCUUCCCCACGAGCUGAAGCUCCCCCAAGGCUCCAUGGCCGGCCAUGGCCAUGGGAUCACACCAAACCGCAGCUCUCCUUCUCUCUCAAGCUCCUCCUCCCCAUGAGAGCAUUCCUCUCACUCUCUUCUCCCCCAACCCUAGCUGGUUUCCUCUCCUCUUCUUCUUCCUCCAUUGCUAAGAUUGGAUCUUGAUGCAGGUGCAUGUUGGUCCAAGCAUGGAGAAGGUUGAGCAAUCCUCAGAUCUGAAGCUCUUGACCAAAAUCCAAAUCCAGUGAUUCAAAGUUCCGCAGAUAGGUAUUGAAAAGAUCUACAAUUUGGCGUUGGUCUCAUCCUCAAAUUCGUUACGGAUUUUGCAUGAUCAAGAUCUGGUCAGAUCUGACUUUGUCGAAUUAAACCAGGAGCCUGGAGACGAAUUUUUGAAUGAAACCAAUUGGGGGAUGUUUGGUUUAUACCAUGUUGAUAACCGAGAGAGGCAAUUGCUAAGUUGUGAUGCACUCAUACCUUUACUAGAUGCGAACAAUUCCGGAGAAGAAGAAGAAGUGGAAUCGGAUGAGAAGAUUAUUUAUAUUGUUGGAAUUCUUAUAUUGAUGGAGUUGAAAAAGUACAGGGACAAAUAAGCCAAGGCAAGCCAUCUCUUGAUCUCUGAAUAUUGAAUCUCAUAUGGUGGUUACUUUGUUAUUAUUAUUGUCUCUCGAUCUAUCUUGUGUGAUUUCUACUUUUGUUGUCGGAGCAUGCUUACCGUGAGCAUGUUUACUCUCUUUGGCACCUCGCCGACAAACCCCUUUUUGUAAAUGGUGGUUGUCAACACCAUGAUCUUGGUGUACCCUCUAAAUGUGAUGGGUAUGCCCACUUAUCUUGUGUGUGUCGACCUCUUGACACCCUUCUUGAACCCCUUGUUGAUGUUCUGCAUACUUACUCUCGAGUAUGUUGAACCCCUUGUUGAUCUUAUGCAUGCACACCCUGAGCAUGUAUGCCCCCUUGACCAUCUAUAUUAUCAUCUUCUUAGAGGUAUGGUGAUUAACAUCAUGAACCUUGUUGAAUCUUCCAACUUAUGUUGAUCAUAUACAUGCUUACCCCAAGCACGUAUGACCCCCUUUUGACACCGCAAUAAUCAUCUCCUUAGUGGUAUGAUGGCUAGCAUCAUGUCAUUGUGACUCUUAGUUCCUUCAUAAAACUAUAGGUUGGGAACCCCCUUGGAAAAAUACCUUGCUGAAAAGAAUUUUUGAAAACCUUGGGUGAGUUGGACUUACCCAAGUGUGUGUUUAUGAAAGGAAAGGAUCUUGGCAAAGAUGGUUGGAA